rnacentral:lncRNA from 1 species
CGGCAGCCUUGGCAGCGCACCUCUCCCGGUCAAUUUUGGUUGCCAUAGCAUGACUUAUUGCGUGUGUGGAGAGAGAGAUGAGCAAUUAUCGUGUCUGUGCUUAUUAACCUUUUCUUUUUGUGUUAGAGUCAGCUUAACCCAGGGCUUUGAGAAGAUUAAGCUGUAAUGAAAUACUAAACAUAACAAGGAAGAAAGCACAGCCUGCCAGACGUGGAGUGGUGGAAUCUGGCGAGGAAAGGCACAGUGUGCUAAAGAAUGGGAGUGAGCCACUGCGUGACCCCCCAACUUUCAUAAAUGCUCUCGUCUCAUCUCGCUUGGGUUUCCCUCUCCUUCCUCCUCAAUAUCCUUCUCCUGGCUAACCCUCCACGUCUUCCAAGGCUGAGCAAAGACGUCUGCUGCUGCCCGAGCCUGGGUGAGGCUGUUGUCCCGGGCUCCUUCCAGGUGGGCACUUGUGCCUGUGGAUGCAGCUCCUCCCUCUCGGGACCAUGCCUUUCAUGUUUAUGGCCACUGCCCUAGGCCCUGGGCUUGGUAGGGUUGAGGUGCUUACCAAGCAUUUGCCAAGUCAACUUUAUGAAUCAAUGGAUGGAGAACUACAUGCUGCUGUCUCAGGAAGGAGCUGUGCCAACGCAAGAAUCCCUUCUCUCUGCAACAGGGCCUGUUUGGGUCUGCUCUUUGCUGCAGUGUCUCUUUCUUUUGGUCACGUGCCCUCCACCUUGGCUGCCUCUGCCCAAACCUGAACAAGGCCCAGAGAGAAGCAGAGUGGCCUCAGUCAUCCAAGUUGCCGUCACCAGGAUGUGCUGCCCACAAAGCAGGCACAUUCAAUACAGAAGCAGAAGACAAAAGAUAUGCC